rnacentral:rRNA from 1 species
GACGAACGCUGGCGGCGUGCCUAACACAUGCAAGUCAGGGAGAAAGAGGUAGCAAUAUCUCGAGUAAACCGGCGAACGGGUGAGUAACACGUAGGUAACCUGCCCUCGAGUUGGGAAUAACUUCGAGAAAUCGAGGCUAAUACCGGAUAAUGCAACGAACCCGCAUGGGUUUGUUGUUAAAGUUCCGCGCAAGCGGAACGCUUGAGGAUGGACCUGCGGCCGAUUAGCUAGUUGGCGGAGAACAGCCCACCAAGGCGACGAUCGGUAGCCGACCUGAGAGGGUGACCGGCCACACUGGGACUGAGAUACGGCCCAGACUCCUACGGGAGGCAGCAGUGAGGAAUAUUGGUCAAUGGACCGAAAGGCUGAACCAGCAACGCCGCGUGAGGGAUGAAGAUCUAAGGAU